UACGUAGGGACCAAGCGUUGUUCGGAUUUACUGGGCGUAAAGGGCGCGUAGGCGGCAAUUCAAGUCAUCUGUGAAAUCUCCGGGCUUAACUCGGAACGGUCAGAUGAUACUGCUUUGCUAGAGUGCGGAAGGGGCAAUCGGAAUUCUUGGUGUAGCGGUGAAAUACGUAGAUAUCAAGAGGAACACCUGAGGUGAAGACGGGUUGCUGGGCCGACACUGACGCUGAUAGCGCGAAAGCCAGGGGAGCAAACGGG
rnacentral:rRNA from 1 species